rnacentral:rRNA from 1 species
UGGGGAAUAUUGCACAAUGGGCGCAAGCCUGAUGCAGCAACGCCGCGUGAACGAUGAAGGUCUUCGGAUCGUAAAGUUCUGUUGCAGGGGAAGAUAAUGACGGUACCCUGUGAGGAAGCCCCGGCUAACUACGUGCCAGCAGCCGCGGUAAUACGUAGGGGGCUAGCGUUAUCCGGAUUUACUGGGCGUAAAGGGUGCGUAGGUGGUCUUUCAAGUCGGUGGUUAAAGGCUACGGCUCAACCGUAGUUAGCCUCCGAAACUGGAAGACUUGAGCGCAGGAGAGGAAAGUGGAAUUCCCAGUGUAGCGGUGAAAUGCGUAGAUAUUGGGAGGAACACCAGUAGCGAAGGCGGCUUUCUGGACUGCAACUGACACUGAGGCACGAAAGCGUGGGUAGCAAACAGG